UCAUGAAGGUGACCUUUUGUUUUCUUAAGUUUCCUGGAAAUUAACAUAGAGUAACUCAGUUGAACAAAAAUUGAAUUAAAAAAGGAAAAAACAUCCCUACUCAGUGACUGAUUUCUUGGACAAAAAAUGUCUCAAAGGAAGGCAAAUCAUAGAAAUUAAGCAAAUGAAAUGCUGAAGAUGUCAUAGGAGGAAAAACAUUUGCAUCAAAGGCACAGUAUGAACGCAGAUGUGCAAGCUACCAAUUCCAUAAGCACCAAUGCACUUCCGUAUCAAAUAUGCAGGUUUCUGAACUGAGUGCUGAUAACAAGGAAAAGGGAAAACACCAGCAUGCCAGAGAAAAUGGUUUUCAGGUGAACUGUCAAACUUUGAAACAAAAAAGGGACUCGCCCCAAGAAGCAGUGAUGUGGGAAACCUUCAGUCUAGAGCCCAGCUGCUCCUUUUAGAUCACUCCUUGGAUGCCCAUCUGCUAUUUUACAAUGGACUCAAACUUCUGUGUCAAACUGACUCGUUGAACAUGACCACUGUUGGCGAAAGAUGGGCCUUUGUCUACAAACCAUAAACCAACUGGAAGGCGCUUAUCAAAAGGUCCAACAGGGCCUCGCCUCGCCUCUCCCUCCCUCCCUCCCUCCCUCUUUAUUCCUCAUGAGUAUGUGAGCGGCAGGCUCACCUCGCUUCACCUCUCCUGGUGAAUCACAGGCUGGCACACCUGUUUUUCAAUCCAUUCACCUGCACGUAAAAGAGCUGGUUCUCCAUUGUUGCCAGAUCAUUAAGCCUAUCAAAAUGAUAAUUGGUCCAGCCUUUGAAAACGUCUGAGUUAAAUUAUUCUCAGUGUACUUACUUGUUCUCUCUGUUUGCCUCGGAUCCCGUCCAAUGUUCCAGCUUGUUUUUCUUUAAGCAUAAAAAAAAAUAUCUAACUGCCUGCUGGAUAUCUCUGUUUGGAAGGAUCCUCAACUCCCUGCCUGCUCUCUCCUUAGUUGGACUGGUCAGCUCUGCACUAAAUAAACCUUUGA